rnacentral:rRNA from 1 species
AGCGAACGCUGGCGGCAGGCUUAACACAUGCAAGUCGAGCGGGCAUCCUUGUGGUGUCAGCGGCAGACGGGUGAGUAACGCGUGGGAACGUGCCCUUCGGUUCGGAAUAACUCAGGGAAACUUGAGCUAAUACCGGAUAAGUGCGAGAGCAGAAAGGUUUAUCUGCCGAAGGAUCGGCCCGCGUCUGAUUAGCUAGUUGGUGAGGUUAUGGCUCACCAAGGCGACGAUCAGUAGCUGGUCUGAGAGGAUGAUCAGCCACACUGGGACUGAGACACGGCCCAGACUCCUACGGGAGGCAGCAGUGGGGAAUAUUGGACAAUGGGGGCAACCCUGAUCCAGCCAUGCCGCGUGAGUGAUGACGGCCUUAGGGUUGUAAAGCUCUUUUCUCCGGGACGAUAAUGACGGUACCGGAGGAAUAAGCCCCGGCUAACUUCGUG